UACGUAGGGUGCGGGCGUUAAUCGGAAUUACUGGGCGUAAAGGGUGCGUAGGCGGUUUGAUAAGUCUGAUGUGAAAUCCCCGGGCUCAACCUGGGAACGGCAUUGGAGACUGUCAAGCUAGAGUGCGUCAGAGGGGGGUAGAAUUCCACGUGUAGCAGUGAAAUGCGUAGAGAUGUGGAGGAAUACCGAUGGCGAAGGCAGCCCCCUGGGAUGACACUGACGCUGAAGCACGAAAGCGUGGGGAGCAAACAGG
rnacentral:rRNA from 1 species